ensembl:lncRNA
GCAACAAAGUUUUUGUUAAAACAAUUGAACAUUUCAGUUUUGUCUGACACAGGAGUGGAGUCAAUAAUGAAGUGAGGAGGUAGCUCAGAGGAAUGAGAGCUGGCAGAGACUUUAUAGUUUGCCAAAAUCUCCGGUCAUCAGUGGUUAAGGUCAAAAAAUAGUCACAUUUGGCCAUCCCGAUGGAGGGAGUAAACCGAUUACCCAACUGAUGAGUCAGACUUUCUCGUCCAGGCCAGGUUUCUCUGGUUCUCUUAUCAUGUGUCAUGUGACCUGAAAGUCAGCUGACACAAGUUGCGUGUGGGUGUUGAAGCGCUUGGGAAGGGAUCUCAAAACUGUUGUAGGUGGUUGACAGUUGUGGUUCAAUAUUGGCUGUUCCCUCUGUUCAAUAUCGGCCAUUCACAUCAGCUUCUUUCACGCCUCAUCAAUUUCUUUUUCUUUCUUUCUUUCUUUCUUUCUUUCUUUCUUUCUUUCUUUCUUUCUUUCUUUCUUUCUUUCUUUCUUUCUUUCUUUCUUUCUUUCUUUCUUUCUUUAAUGCUUUGCUCUAUCAUCCUGCAUUUUUACUGAUUUGGUUCACACCAUGCUUGACAAAAACAUGGAUGGUGUAUUAGUUGCUCCAUUUAAACACAAGCAGGUGUCUGAGAAAAAAAACACUUUAUUAAUAAAAGAUAUGUUGGUGUACAGCUGUCGUGCACUUUCAUCACUUUGUAGGAGAUGUUCAAUAGCACACUUUCCUGUACGAUCAGAAUAUACACUACUGUUCAAAAGUUUGGACACACCUUCUCAUUCAAUGCUUUUUCUUUAUUUUACUACUUUCUACAUUAUAGAUACAAACUGAAAAAAUCUAAUAUCUGAAGAUAUAUGGAAUUAUGUAGCAAAGAAAACAUUGAUAAAUAACUCUAAAUAUGUUUUAUAUUUUAGAUUCGUGAAAGUAGCCGCCCCCUGCUUUGUUGACAGCACUGCAAACCCUUGGCCUUCUCUCAAUGAGCUUCAUGAUGGAGUCACCUGAAAUGGUUUUCAUGACACAGGUGUCUUGUCAGGGUUCAUCU